AUGGCCGAGUCUAGUGAGACGCUCGUGCCAGAAGGGUUUAGUUGUGGGAGGGGGGAGGGGUGUGAAGCAAUUCAGGUUUUCUCAGGACCGAGGGCGACAUGAGAGGGCCAACACAGUGGGCUCCUUUAGUCGAAGACUUAGGAGACUUUCGCAGUCCCGCGAUGAUUUGCGGGUUCGAGAGUGGAGGCUUUGUCUCAGCGAGAGCUGUGGAAAGGUCCUGGGACUGGAGUCAAAGACAAAAAAAGACUUCUGGGUAAAAGUGUUCCCAGAAAAAGGGGGGGGGGUAGGAGGGAAAUCCUAGGGAGGGGAAACGGGAGUAAUAAUAUUACUAACUAUUCUGAUGAUCUCGUGGAGAUAAGUGAUUAAUCAACCCCUGAGUGUGGAGAGAGAGGCGCGCGCGCACGCUGGCGAAAGAGAGAAGCGGGUUGAACAGCUUGCUCGGUCCUUCUGUGGAGAACAGGCGCUUUCCUCUCACGCCUGCGGUGUCAUCUGGGAGCUGAUGUGGGCAUCAACCAACUGGAAAACAGCUGCCCAAGUUGAAACCCUGAUUCUUCGGCGAAUGUAGAGGUCCCGCCAAGACUUACAAACUCAAAGGCACAAUUCAACAGGAGAUACUCAGUGGGACCUUGUACUAUUUCCCAAUAGUAAUUGGUGUUAUUCAGCUGUCUAUGGACACCUAGUCUUUAGUAUCCAGUAUGACAAUGCUUCCACUUUUAUCUGCUUUCUUCAUAGUGAUGUUUUUAUCAUUGGCUAGAGAUUUUAAUAUUUCCCUGACCCUUAAUGUGCAGAUAAAGGGCUGGGCAUUAAAGUGGCAGCAUUCCAGGCAUUUUCAGUCACAGAGAGCCAACCUCUCAAACACAUUAAUAUCAUUCUGUAUGUGUGGUAUAAAUUUCGAUUUAGGCUGAAACUGUGUGGGUCCAGGUUGUAUUUCUUCACCAAAGAAUUUAUGUAAUUUCAGUUGUCUAACCAGUUUGAAAAGAUCGACUCGAGUCAGGAAUGCUCUCUAAAGAGGCAUGGGUGAAGAAGACAACAGCAAUCAUGGGCUGAACCAAUGCUACACAGUUCCUUAAAGGAAACAUUACUUCUGUUAAAAUAUACCACUCUUUUGCUGAAGAAGAAGAAGAGGGUUUUAUUUCCUAAUGAAACAGGAUUUUUUGUUAUCCGGAAGACCUGUCCUUCUUGAAUUUAUUUGAGCUGUUUCUUCUCACACACUUCUAUUGGAUCUUUGAUUGCUGCACCGAUUGCAUUACUCUGUGCUUUCCUAUAUUGAUUCUGCUCUAGACUUUGUUGAAUUCUACUCAACUAAUUAUGGAGAUUCUUUAGUGAAUCAAACAUGAUUCUUUUGUGAAUGAGGCCCUUCUACUUAUGAGCUUCCAUAUCAGACCACUUUGGGCACAUGGGAAAAGAUGCAGCAUAUGAUCUCACUUCCAUUGUACAAAAGGUAGUGAGCCAGCUAAGUAAAAAUCUGAGCCAUCCCCCAGCAAACUGUGUCAUGUUUAGCCUUUGAUAGCUAGGCUUCUCCCUGUUUUUGCCUACCUGUUCUGCCUCCCCCUUGCCCUGCUGAAAUUAUAGGAUGGGGAUUAGGAGCCAUUUUUCCUCCUUAGGUUAUUCUGUAGAAUGGGGUAGCACACACUAUGUAUCCUAGCCAGGGCUCUCCAUGCUCUGAUCACAUAUAGGCUGGGCUAUUUCAGUGUACGCUGCAUAGGGCUGCCUUUGACAGCUCAGAAGCUUUAAUUGAUUCAAAAAACAGCUGCCAGACUGCUGACAGGUGCAGAUUACCAGAAUCACCUCUUCCUUAUAUUGGCAUAGGCUGCCUGUCCUUCUGGCCCAAUUCAAAGUGCCAGUGAGUGCCAGUAAAGCACUAAGUGGUCUGGGGUCAGGGAACUGGGGGGUGGGGGAGAGAAUGUACAACUUAUGGCACCUCCUGAAAGAGGUUUCAAGGCAAGAGACGUUCAGAGAUGAUUUGCCUUUGCCUUCCUCCACUGAGCAGCCUCAUCUUUUAUGGUCUUCGGAAAUGUUGUAUCAGAUACUGAUGUUUAUAUCACUAUUUGUCAUUGCAGGAACCUAUUGGUUUAAGGGUGGCCUAUAAAAGCCUAAAAUAAACAAAUAAAAUGUAUAUUGAUUGCACUAAUAGCAA